UACGUAGGGGGCUAGCGUUGUCCGGAUUUAUUGGGCGUAAAGAGCGUGUAGGCGGCCAGGUAGGUCUGGUGUGAAAACUCGAGGCUUAACCUCGAGAUGUCAUCGGAAACCAUCUGGCUAGAGUCCGGAAGAGGAGAGUGGAAUUCCUGGUGUAGCGGUGAAAUGCGCAGAUAUCAGGAAGAACACCAAUGGCGAAAGCAGCUCUCUGGGGACGGUACUGACGCUGAGACGCGAAAAGCGUGGGGGAGCGAACAGGG
rnacentral:rRNA from 1 species